GCAUCAGUGAGGUUUAUCCUUACCUGUUGUCUUAAAAAUAAGACUACAGCACAUGAUGAUUGGAUUCUAUGAAUACGUGAUUAUAUUCUGUAUUCUUAAAGGGUUUGCAACACCUUUAUGAAUCCUGUCUGAC
ensembl:snoRNA U8 U8 small nucleolar RNA